rnacentral:tRNA from 1 species
GAGGGUAUAGCUCAAGUGGUAGAGCACACGCUUAGCAUGCACAAGGUCCUGGGUUCAAUCCCCCAGUACCUCCU